rnacentral:rRNA from 1 species
UACGGAGGGGGUUAGCGUUGUUCGGAAUGACUGGGCGUAAAGCGCGCGUAGGCGGAUCAGGAAGUUGGGGGUGAAAUCCCGGGGCUCAACCCCGGAAUGGCCUUCAAGACUCCUGGUCUUGAGUUCGAGAGAGGUGAGUGGAAUUCCGAGUGUAGAGGUGAAAUUCGUAGAUAUUCGGAGGAACACCAGUGGCGAAGGCGGCUCACUGGCUCGACACUGACGCUGAGGUGCGAAAGCGUGGGGAGCAAACAGG